UUUCAUCUUCCCCUCAUUUUGGGAACCCCAAAAAUCGGCAGCCCCUCUACAAAGGCUCCAUGGCCAUUUUUCUUCAAUAUUUCUUAAGUUUGUCGGUGAAUCGGUUUGGUAUUUGCGUAAUUGAAGGGUUAUCGAGGUAGCUCUACGAUCCUAUACUAUUUUAAUAUCUUAAAAAAAUGAUUAAAUGUUGAACUAUAUAUGUUGGAAUUUUCGAAAUUUAUGAGGGUGAAUUAUGCAUGUGAUUUGAUUCUUGCUAUUUUCGUUAAUAUGUAAUAUUAGGAUGUUGUUAAGCAUGGAAAUAAGAUUAGAAUUGAUAAUUCAAGUAUAAUUUGAUAAUUAGUAAUAAGUUAUAGACUAUAGUCGAAGGGGAGGUUGAAUUCGUAUGGCUAAUGAAUUCAUUUAAAAUGUUUGAUCAUGGAUUUGUGAUUUUGGAAUGAAUAUGAGUGUUGAUGUAAAUUGUUGGGAACUUUCUAAGUAAGAUUAGCAAUUGUAGUGCACAAAUUAAAAGAGUAUAUAGUCUCUGAAUAGUAUUAUGUGAAUAAUAUCACAAUAGAGUUUUUAUUUGAAAGACUUAAUGAGCUGAAGUUGGCAAGAAAUAAAUAUAUGAAGUAAAUAAUGGUGUAAGGACUGCAUAUGAUUAAUUUGGGAGCUAAUUAUUGCCAUUUAGUAUUUCUAAUGAAAUUAUAAAGAUGAUAAUUUUUUUUAAAUCCAAAAACAAACUGUAAUAAAUUUAAUUAAGUAGCACCAAAAUUUGGAAUCAAAAAAUAAAAUGAAUAAAAAAAGCAAGAAAUUGAAAAGAAAGUGAUAAAUGAUUAGAAGCAGGCGAGUUGAGCAAAGAAGCGUGGUAUCAACCAUGCGGCCAUGUGUUUGUAGCUUUGCUGAGUCAUGUGGAUGCCGUCCCAACUCAGAUGUCGAUCAACAUCUUCACACACGCUGACAUUAUCUCCUCCACACAUUCUUUCCAAAUCGAAGUUGUAUUUACCUCCUAUUCCGCAGCAAGCCUUCUCAACCUCAUAUCCUUUCUCUUUUAAAUUAUAUAGAUGAUAAUUAUAGGUUGUGAAAUUGCAUAAGGCUAUUGAAGUAUAAAGGAGAUUAUGGAGUGAUAAUCAGAAAUUGGAAAUUAAAGAAUGAGAAAUAGAAGACACGGAGAAAGAAAAGCUAUAGUAGGAUGAAAUUGACUACAUAAGUAGUAUAAGUUACUAAUAUUUGCUAUGUUUAGAGUAGAAGGUAGAGAAGCUUGUAGUGCGAGUUGUGCAGAAAAGAAAGGACCUAGAAGAUACCGAAGCGUCGAAAGAUGAAAAACAUGCUUAUGUUCAUAAGUCGAUGAGGUGGAUAAGAAUGGGAUUGAAUUUUUGUUAGUAAACCAUUGCCUUUUCUAAGAAGAUUGAAUUCUGCAGUGUGGGUAUUGCUACUGAGCUGUAGAGCUUCCCCCUUCCUCUUCUUCCACCCUGCAGGUUAAGUGAUAUAGUUUGUAUUAGAGGAGCGCAGCGGAUGCAUCCUUGACGAGUCACUAGUCUAUUGUGGAAGUUUAGAAAAUGGUGGCAAGCUUCGUAUAAAGUUAUUGAUAGUCUUUUUCGCUGCAAAGUUUGAUAUUUUUUUUCGUGUAACGUAAUUUAUAUAUAUAUGAAAAAAACGCAUGAGUAACGGCGAUACCAGUUAGUGACAUUACUUAUUUGGUGGAUUUACCGAUCGAGUAAGGGGUGUUACACACAUAAAUCGAGAAAUUUAUUAACUA